rnacentral:ncRNA from 2 species
AUCUAGUAGCUGGUUCCCU